rnacentral:rRNA from 1 species
GAUGAACGCUAGCUACAGGCUUAACACAUGCAAGUCGAGGGGCAUCGGGAAGAAAGCUUGCUUUCUUUGCCGGCGACCGGCGCACGGGUGAGUAACACGUAUCCAACCUGCCCUUUACUCGGGGAUAGCCUUUCGAAAGAAAGAUUAAUACCCGAUAGCAUAAUGAUUCCGCAUGGUUUCAUUAUUAAAGGAUUCCGGUAAAGGAUGGGGAUGCGUUCCAUUAGGUUGUUGGUGAGGUAACGGCCCACCAAGCCUUCGAUGGAUAGGGGUUCUGAGAGGGUGACCGGCCACAUUGGGACUGAGACACGGCCCAG